ACACGGACCAAGGAGUGCAACAUGCGUGCGAGUCUUUGGGUGUCAAACCCAGCGGCACAAUGAAAGUGAAGGCAGGCGUUGGUCUGCUUAGGMGAGAGUCUUCGCACGGAGACACAUCGUCGACCGAUCCCAGGUCACGCUGUGGCGGGAUUUGAGUGAGAGCGUGCCUGUUGCGACCCGAAAGAUGGUGAACUAUGCCUGAAUAGGGUGAAGCCAGAGGAAACUCUGGUGGAAGCUCGUAGCGAUUCUGACGUGCAAAUCGAUCGUCAAAUUUGGGUAUAGGGGSGAAAGASUAAUCGAACCAUCUAGUAGCUGGUUCCCUCYGAAGUUUCCCUCAGGAUAGCUGGAGCCCGGUGCASUUUUAUCAGGUAAAGCGAAUGAUUAGAGGUCUUGGGGKUGAAACAACCUCAACCUAUUCUCAAACUUUAAAUGGGUAAGAAGCUUGGCUUGCUUAAWWGAARUCAGGCAUUGAAUGCCGGGGCUCCAAGUGGGCCAUUUUUGGUAAGCAGAACUGGCGAUGUGGGAUGAACCAAAUGCUGGGUUAAGGUGCCCGAAUCAACGCUCAUCAGAUACCAUGAAAGGUGUUGGUUGAUCUAGACAGCAGGACGGUGGCCAUGGAAGUCGGAAUCCGCUAAGGAGUGUGUAACAACU
rnacentral:rRNA from 1 species